UGGGGAAUAUUGCACAAUGGGCGCAAGCCUGAUGCAGCGACGCCGCGUGAGGGAUGACGGCCUUCGGGUUGUAAACCUCUGUUAGCAUCGAAGAAGCGAAAGUGACGGUAGGUGCAGAGAAAGCGCCGGCUAACUACGUGCCAGCAGCCGCGGUAAUACGUAGGGCGCGAGCGUUGUCCGGAAUUAUUGGGCGUAAAGAGCUUGUAGGCGGUUGGUCGCGUCUGCUGUGAAAGGCCGGGGCUUAACUCCGGUUUUGCAGUGGGUACGGGCUAACUAGAGUGCAGUAGGGGAGACUGGAAUUCCUGGUGUAGCGGUGGAAUGCACAGAUAUCAGGAGGAACACCGAUGGCGAAGGCAGGUCUCUGGGCUGUAACUGACGCUGAGAAGCGAAAGCAUGGGGAGCGAACAGGAUUAGAUACCCUGGUAGUCCAUGCCGUAAACGUUGGGCACUAGGUGUGGGGGACAUUCCACGUUUUCCGCGCCGUAGCUAACGCAUUAAGUGCCCCGCCUGGGGAGUACGGCCGCAAGGCUA
rnacentral:rRNA from 1 species